GGAGUAGGGAGUGGGAUGAGAAGGGGCCUGGGCUGGGAGGACCAGCUGCCCAUGCAUGUCCAGGGCAGCCCCACAGCCCUGCGGAGAAGAGUUCUUUUCCGGUCUCACCUCCAUCCAUCCACCCCCAUGCGUGGCUAAUUUUCCUUUUUAGGGACAGCUGCCCUUCCCGCUCCCCACAGAGUAAUCGGAGCCAGAAUCUCUGCCUGGUUUCUGAGAACCCCAUCUGCCCAGACCUCGCCUGGACUGUGGUUUUAGCAAAUAAUUUGGAUCCUUCUAGAGCUUGGGGGAGGAAGCUUCCGCCCCUUCCUCCUUAGUGGUGUUAAGAAAUGCUCAGCAUUCCUGGGUUAAGAGGGCCAGGGGCCAUUCUUCUCAGCACAGGGACAGACCCAGAGGAACAAAAUGAAGAAGGAACCCAGCACCCGUCCCAGGCUCUCAGCUCCUUCCCGGGGGUCACCUGGGGACUGGCAGCGCUGUGAUUGUGCUACCACGAUACCCCCAUAUCACAGAUGAAGGGGCCAGAGCCCAGAAAGGGUAAGUAACUUGUCCAAGGACACACAGCAGAUAAGUGCAGGGACCAGUAUUUGGACUCCAGAGUUCCUGCUUUUUUGUUUUGUAGAGAUGAGUCUCACUAGGUUGCCCAGGCUGGUUUCCAACUCCUGGCCUAAAGCAAUCCUCCUGCGUCAGCCUCCUGAGUUGCUGGGACUAGAUGCACGGCUACUGCACCCAGCCUGAAGUCCCUGCUUUUAAGUGCUAGGCACACUGCCUCUGGAGAGGGAGGAGGAGAAGUAAAGGCCUGGGUGAGGGGCAGUGAACAUGAGAUACUUGAGAAAAAUAAGAAGGCCCGAGGGGCCAGGUAUCGGUGAUGACUCAUGUCGGUAAUACCAGCACUUUGGGAGGCUGAGGCAAGAGGAUCACUUGAGCCCAGAAGUUUGGGGCCAGCCAGGGCAACAUAGUGAGACCCCCAUCUCUACCAAAAAAUAGAAAAAAUUAGCGGGGCAUGGUGGCACAUGCCUAUGGUCCUGCUACUCAGGAGGCUGAGACAGGAGGAUCACUUGAGUCCGGGAGGUUGAGGCUGCAGUGAGCCAUGAUCAUGCCACUGCACUCCAGCCUAGGUGACAGAGUGAGACCCCGUCUCAAAAACAAACAAACAAAAAACCCCAAGGCUGCGGAGCUGAUGCGGUGGGUAAGGGUGAGACUCAGGACUCCACUUUCUCUGUCCUGCCCAUUGGCGUUCCAGGUAGGACGUCCUUGGGAGACAUGGUUUGCUACGUAUAGCUACAUGGAAAGAUCCCAGGACUAACCAACUUGUAAAGCCCUUAGGGCAGGAAGAUUUUAGGGUAACUCUUGCAUCUGGCUUGGGGUCAGCACGCACUCAGGCCUGCUCUGAGAUGGAGGACCACUGGCUCAGUUUACCUUUGGAAUGGGCAGGGUCGGGGAGCAGCAAGGACAGGGCCAGGAGUUGGGAAGUCCUGGGCCCAUCCCAGACCCUAAGCCCCCUCUGUAACAGUGAGACCCUGGGCACGUCACCUAAGCACUCUGGGCCUCCAAUGAUAAUCCCCUGUCCACCUGGUGUUUUAGUGGGUCAAUAUGACAGCCGCUGUUCAUUCGGCACUGCUAGUGUGUUACCUCGGUGACUCAUUCCGGUGACCUACUGGUCACCCCAUUCAGCAGAUGCUUCCUGGGAAGAUGGUGAAGACAAACUGAGCCUUUAUGUCCGAAUGGCUCUUUACAACCUGCAAAAGGCACUUUCGGACCUAAUUCAAUUUGAUCUUCACACAAAUCCAGAAGCCAGGCAGGCAUGCUUCAUCGUUCCAUUUAAAGUUGAAGAAACUGGCUGAGCACGGUGGCUCAUGCCUGUAAUCCUGUAAUCCCAGCUCUUUGGGAGGCUGAGGAAGGAGAAUUGCUUGAGGCGAGGAGCAACAUGGCAAGACCCUGUCUCUACAAAAAAUAAAAAUAAAAAUAGGUUAGGCACAGUGGCUCAUGCCUGUAAUCCCAG
rnacentral:lncRNA from 1 species